GUGGGGAAUAUUGGACAAUGGGGGGAACCCUGAUCCAGCCAUGCCGCGUGUGUGAAGAAGGCCUUUUGGUUGUAAAGCACUUUAAGCGAGGAGGAGGCUACCGAGAUUAAUACUCUUGGAUAGUGGACGUUACUCGCAGAAUAAGCACCGGCUAACUCUGUGCCAGCAGCCGCGGUAAUACAGAGGGUGCGAGCGUUAAUCGGAUUUACUGGGCGUAAAGCGUGCGUAGGCGGCUUUUUAAGUCGGAUGUGAAAUCCCCGAGCUUAACUUGGGAAUUGCAUUCGAUACUGGGAAGCUAGAGUAUGGGAGAGGAUGGUAGAAUUCCAGGUGUAGCGGUGAAAUGCGUAGAGAUCUGGAGGAAUACCGAUGGCGAAGGCAGCCAUCUGGCCUAAUACUGACGCUGAGGUACGAAAGCAUGGGGAGCAAACAGGAUUAGAAACCCCAGUAGUCC
rnacentral:rRNA from 1 species